AUGGCGACUUCGUUCCAGGGGACGACCACCAAGUGCAACGCCUGCGACAAGACGGUGUACCUCGUCGACAAGCUCACCGCCGACAACCGGGUCUACCACAAGGCCUGCUUCAGGUGCCACCACUGCAAGGGCACCCUCAAGCUCGCAAAUUACAACUCGUUCGAAGGAGUGCUCUACUGCAGGCCUCACUUUGACCAGCUCUUCAAGAGGACCGGGAGCCUGGACAAGAGCUUCGAAGGCACUCCAAAGGUUGUCAAGCCAGAAAGGAAUGUUGGGAAUGAGAAUGCUACUAAAGUCUCCAGCGCAUUUGCUGGCACUAGAGAGAAAUGUUUUGGAUGCAGCAAGACAGUCUAUCCAAUUGAGAGGGUUACUGUGAAUAACACUAUGUACCACAAGAGCUGCUUCAAAUGCUGCCAUGGAGGGUGCACCAUCAGCCCUUCGAAUUACAUCGCGCACGAGGGCAAGCUCUUCUGCAAGCACCACCACACCCAGCUGAUCAAAGAGAAGGGUAAUUUCAGCCAGCUCGAGAACGACCACGACAAGACAUCACAGAGUGCCGGGUCAGUGGAUGAUGAAGACUCGGAGUAUUAG
rnacentral:rRNA from 1 species